rnacentral:rRNA from 1 species
CAGUCGCCGCGGUAAUACGUAGGUGGCAAGCGUUGUCCGGAAUUAUUGGGCGUAAAGGGCUCGCAGGCGGUUUCUUAAGUCUGAUGUGAAAGCCCCCGGCUCAACCGGGGAGGGUCAUUGGAAACUGGGAAACUUGAGUGCAGAAGAGGAGAGUGGAAUUCCACGUGUAGCGGUGAAGUGCGUAGAGAUGUGGAGGAACACCAGUGGCGAAGGCGACUCUCUGGUCUGUAACUGACGCUGAGGAGCGAAAGCGUGGGGAGCGAACAGGAUUAGAUACCCGGGUAGUCCCUGUCUCUUAUAC